rnacentral:rRNA from 1 species
CUACGGGUGGCUGCAGUGGGGAAUAUUGCACAAUGGGCGCAAGCCUGAUGCAGCCAUGCCGCGUGUGUGAAGAAGGCCUUCGGGUUGUAAAGCACUUUCAGCGGGGAGGGAGGCGGUGAGGUUAAUAACCUCAUCGAUUGACGUUACCCGCAGAAGAAGCACCGGCUAACUCCGUGCCAGCAGCCGCGGUAAUACGGAGGGUGCAAGCGCUAAUCGGAAUUACUGGGCGUAAAGCGCACGCAGGCGGUCUGUCAAGUCGGAUGUGAAAUCCCCGGGCUCAACCUGGGAACUGCAUUCGAAACUGGCAGGCUAGAGUCUUGUAGAGGGGGGUAGAAUUCCAGGUGUAGCGGUGAAAUGCGUAGAGAUCUGGAGGAAUACCGGUGGCGAAGGCGGCCCCCUGGACAAAGACUGACGCUCAGGUGCGAAAGCGUGGGGAGCAAACAGGAUUAGAUACCCGGGUAGUC